rnacentral:rRNA from 1 species
CGCGUAGGCGGAUGGUACAGUCAGAUGUGAAAUUCCUGGGCUUAACCUGGGGGCUGCAUUUGAUACGUAUUGUCUAGAGUGAGGAAGAGGGUCGUGGAAUUCCCAGUGUAGAGGUGAAAUUCGUAGAUAUUGGGAUGAACACCGGUGGCGAAGGCGGCGACCUGGUCCUUGACUGACGCUGAGGCGCGAAAGCGUGGGAGCAAACA